rnacentral:lncRNA from 1 species
CAAGCACAAAACAGAAGAGAGAAUAAAUUGGAGGUCAUCAGCAGACGAGUGAUUUCAACAAGUUUCUGGAAAGCACAAAGUACAUGAAAAGGUGUCAAAAGAUGAAAUGGAAGAAGCUAUCAUCUUUAGCAUUUCUAGAGGCGGCUUCAAAGACCAGAAGGAAGAGCUAGACAGCAAAACUAGAGAGGCCAACCUUCGAGACAUCAGACAGGAAGUUUGGAGUUCUGGCAGCCAUCCUGGACCAUAACAUGAAGUGCUUAAAGACGGCAGCAUAGAAAUAUACAAGAAGCCCAGAUCCUUGAUGAUCAUGGAGCCACCAUGGACUGCUUACCCCUGGACUUCAUUUACAUGAAAGAAAAUAAAACCUUA